GAUUACGGCCAUACCACACUGACAAUGCCCGAUUUCGUCUGAUCUCGGAAGCUAAGCAGAGUUGGGCUGGGUCAGUACUUGGAUGGGUGACCGCCUGGGAAUACCUGGUGCUGUAAGCA
ensembl:rRNA 5S_rRNA 5S ribosomal RNA